AGCGAACGCUGGCGGCAGGCUUAACACAUGCAAGUCGAGCGGGCGUAGCAAUACGUCAGCGGCAGACGGGUGAGUAACGCGUGGGAACGUACCUUUUGGUUCGGAACAACACAGGGAAACUUGUGCUAAUACCGGAUAAGCCCUUACGGGGAAAGAUUUAUCGCCGAAAGAUCGGCCCGCGUCUGAUUAGCUAGUUGGUGAGGUAAUGGCUCACCAAGGCGACGAUCAGUAGCUGGUCUGAGAGGAUGAUCAGCCACAUUGGGACUGAGACACGGCCCAAACUCCUACGGGAGGCAGCAGUGGGGAAUAUUGGACAAUGGGCGCAAGCCUGAUCCAGCCAUGCCGCGUGAGUGAUGAAGGCCCUAGGGUUGUAAAGCUCUUUUGUGCGGGAAGAUAAUGACGGUACCGCAAGAAUAAGCCCCGGCUAACUUCGUG
rnacentral:rRNA from 1 species